rnacentral:rRNA from 1 species
UACGGAGGGUGCAAGCGUUAUCCGGAUUCACUGGGUUUAAAGGGUGCGUAGGUGGGCAGGUAAGUCAGUGGUGAAAUCUCCGGGCUUAACUCGGAAACUGCCAUUGAUACUAUCUGUCUUGAAUACCGUGGAGGUUAGCGGAAUAUGUCAUGUAGCGGUGAAAUGCUUAGAUAUGACAUAGAACACUAAUUGCGAAGGCAGCUGGCUACACGAAUAUUGACACUGAUGCACGAAAGCGUGGGGAUCAAACAGG